UACCGGUUCUCGUUCGAUCACUGAAGUUAAGUAUCGUUGAGUGCGGUUAGUACUUAGAUGGGGAACCGUUUGGGAACACCGGUUACUGG